AACUUUUAACAAUGGAUCUCUUGGUUCUGGCAUCGAUGAAGAACGCAGCAAAAUGCGAUAAGUAAUGUGAAUUGCGGAAAUUAGUGAAUCAUCGAAUCUUUGAACGCACAUUGCGCACCUUGGUAUUCCGGGGAGCAUGUCUGUCUGAGCGUCAAUUCACAUGCCAAGCGUAGCUUGAUGUUGGGCCGUACGUCUGCGAAGACGAACCUGAAAAUUAGUGGCGUGUCAUCUCACGGCUCCAGACGCAGUAGUUACUCUCUCGUCCGGUUAGUUGGGACGACAUCUGCCAGAACGUCGUGCAGCAAGGCUGCACCUCUCAAGUUUGACCUCAGAUCAGUCAAGGAUACCCGCUGAACUUAAGCAUAUCAAUAAGCGGAGGCU
rnacentral:misc_RNA from 1 species